rnacentral:rRNA from 1 species
GUCUAUAGCCAUACCACUCUGAACACACCCAAUCUCAUCUGAUCUUGGAAGGUAAAAAUGGGGACUACACUACACAAAAGAAGACCAAGAAACCCAGUCUAAAGUAGUCA